rnacentral:rRNA from 1 species
CAGUCGCCACGGGAAUACGAAGGGGGCUAGCGUUGCUCGGAAUUACUGGGCGUAAAGGGAGCGUAGGCGGACAUUUAAGUCAGGGGUGAAAUCCCGGGGCUCAACCUCGGAAUUGCCUUUGAUACUGGGUGUCUUGAGUAUGAGAGAGGUAUGUGGAACUCCGAGUGUAGAGGUGAAAUUCGUAGAUAUUCGGAAGAACACCAGUGGCGAAGGCGACAUACUGGCUCAUUACUGACGCUGAGGCUCGAAAGCGUGGGGAGCAAACAGGAUUAGAUACCCCUGUAGUCCCUGUCUCUUAUAC